UCUUACCUACGGGGGGCAGCAGUGGGGAAUAUUGCACAAUGGGGGAAACCCUGAUGCAGCGACGCCGCGUGGGCGAAGAAGUAUUUCGGUAUGUAAAGCCCUAUCAGCAGGGAAGAAGAAAUGACGGUACCUGAGUAAGAAGCACCGGCUAAAUACGUGCCAGCAGCUGCGGUAAUACGUAUGGUGCAAGCGUUAUCCGGAUUUACUGGGUGUAAAGGGAGCGCAGGCGGCACGGCAAGCCUGAUGUGAAAGCCCGCGGCCCAACCGCGGGACUGCAUUGGGAACUACCGGGCU
rnacentral:rRNA from 1 species